rnacentral:rRNA from 1 species
UACGUAGGGUGCAAGCGUUAAUCGGAAUUACUGGGCGUAAAGCGUGCGCAGGCGGUUCGGAAAGAAAGAUGUGAAAUCCCAGGGCUUAACCUUGGAACUGCAUUUUUAACUGCCGGGCUAGAGUAUGUCAGAGGGGGGUAGAAUUCCACGUGUAGCAGUGAAAUGCGUAGUGAUGUGGAGGAAUACCGAUGGCGAAGGCAGCCCCCUGGGAUGAUACUGACGCUCAUGCACGAAAGCGUGGGGAGCAAACAGG